CUGCUUCUUCUUCUUCUUCUCUCUUCUAUUAAUGUGGCAUUUCAACAAUAAAUCAUUGAAUCACCAUGAAUGCACGAUUUAGCCUAAACAAGAACAAAAAUGGCUACAGACGUUCCGGUAAAGCACCCGCCGGUGAAUCCCUGCUGUACGGUGUGGAAGGACAAAUGUUCCAAGCUAGAAGUUGGGCGGAAACAUUUAAGACAAGCUGUGCAGAUUCUCAAUGAACAAAUCGAUAAGAUUCAAACGGAGAAUACCACUCUCAAGAAAGCAUAUGAGCAAGAGCAGGCACGGGCAGAAACUGAGAAAGAGUGGAAAGAUAAAGAAUUGGCUGUCAGAGUUUCUUUGGAGAAUGAGAUUUCUGCCUUGAAGUCUGAAGUAUUCUCCUUAAAGCAGAAAAUAAGUGCAGAAGCUGAGGAUGAAAGGGGGGAAGUGAAGCUCCUUCAGCAUCAUGUUUCUGAAGCGGAAAAGGAAAUCACAAGGCUUAAAUCGCUUCUCGAGAAAGAGAAAAUAAGGGCAGAUUCUGAAAAGAAGAAUGCCGAGGCACAGAAGAAAAGUGCUGCUGAAGCAUGGAAACAUGUGAAAACUGAAAAAGCCAAGGCUGAUGAAGAGAGGAAGCUUGCUAAUAAUGAAGGGAAGAAGGCCGAGGAAUAUCGGCUUCAGUUAGAGGAAUUUAGGAAAGAAGUUGAUGAAGAAAAAUCAAAGUUGGUUUCUGGGACAUUGAAGCUUGAAGAGGCAGUUAAAAAACUAGAAGCAGAAAAGCAGAAAGUGACCAAGGAGAGGAAACGUGCUGAUUUAGAGAUGGCUAAAGCAGAGGAGCAAAGGAAGCUUGCAGAAGCAAACAGGAAGAAGGUCGUAGAAGAAAAAUCUUGUGCUGAGAGUCUUUCUCAGCAGUUGAAGGAUGCUAUGCAAAGAAUUGAGGAACUACAGAAGGAGAUGAAUAGCAUUUUGUUGUCCAGAAAGUUAGAUGAGGCUCCUGGUUAUCAAUGCAAUCAAAGUGAGAUGUAUGUCUUCAAUCAUCAAAUCUCCUCCUUACAGCGAAAAGGAAGUGCAGAUAUUAAAGAUAAAACAAGGGAUGCAAUACCUUUUCAAGAUCACCUUUCCGAAGAGGAAAAGGAAAUCAAUCAGCUCAAGGGGCUUCUUCAGAAAGAGAAAGAAAGAGCAGAUUCUCUAAAGAAAACUGCUGAGGCAGAGAAGAAGAGUGCUUCUGAAGCAUGGAAACUCAUGAUAACUGAAAAGGUUAAGGCUGAUGAAGAAAGGAAGAAGUCUGAGGGAUAUCAGAUUCAAUUGGAGGCAUUGAGGAAAGAAGCUGAUGAAACAAAGGCAAAAAUGAUGUUUAAUAUUUUGAAGUUUGAAGAUGCAAAUAAAAGGUUAGUAAUAGAAAAAGAUCGAGUGACUGAAGAGAGAAAGUGUACUGAUUUGGAGAAGGCUAAGGGAAAGGAGCUAAGAAAACUUGCUGAAACAAAUGGGAAGAGUGUCAUGGAAGGAAAAUCUUGUGCUGGAAAUCUUUCUCAGAAAUCGGAAGGUGCUGGAAAAAGAAUGGAGGAAUUACAGAAAGAGAUAAAUAAAUUCAUCCUUUCUAGAAGUUUGGAUGGGUCUCCAGUUGAUCUAAAUUCAAAUGCUCAAGCUGCAAAAAUGAGAUUUAAGUUUUGGUUAGAGAAUUUCAUGAAAGAUGCUGAUCAUGCAGAGUUAGUUUUGGAGUUUUUAAAAUUUGAGGAUGCAAUCAAAAGGUUUGAGGUUGAAAAACAGGGGAUUGUGAUGGAGAAAAAGCACACAGAUACAGAAUUGAGGGAAGUAGAAGAGCUAAGAAAGCUUGUGGAAGUGAAUAGGAAGAUGGCAUUGGAAGAAAAAUCUCGUGCUGAUCAGCUGUCUUGUCAAAUUGAAGAAAGUAGGCAUAAAAUUGAGGAACUGCAGAAGCAGAUAGAGGAACUUUUAUCCUAUAGAAGAGUAGUUGAGGCUUCUGCUAAUUUACCUGGCAAAGAGGUGAAGACCAAAUCCAGAAAAUUGAAGCUUUUAGAAAGACGGUUGAAGCUUGAAAAGAUGCGAUUGAAGUAUGCCAAACAAGUGGCUAAGUUGGAAAAGAUUCGCAGUAGUACUUUACAACAGGAACUAGGUCGCAUAAAGGUGGAUUCUGAUCAAAUUUCACAGCGCCUGGAUUCUCUGGAUAAAUGGUUUUCGUCUGGUGUUGAAUGUAGAGAGGACUUGGAAAAGGAUGGAGUAUCAGUGAACAUGCAGAGAUCAAAGCUGAAAAGGAAGUUUGGUGAUUUAGAACCAUCCCAGAAGUAUGUUCCUAAAGAAAGUGAGCUCAAGCCUAGUUGCAUGGCUAAGGCUACCUGUUAUCCUCUUAGUCAAUCCCUGUACCACAAAUCUCGAUUGCUCCCUGCAUGUAAAGGGGACUGUACUGAAUCCAUUUCAAGUAUUGAUUCUCAAUUGAAGUCUCUGCAUGAAGGUUCUUAUAAAAAAAUGUUACAGAGUUCUGCAAUAAAUUCCAGGUCAGCAUCUUUUUCUGAUAGUAAGUUGCUUGACUCACAGGAAAUGGGUGCUUUUGUUUCCAAAUCAGAGAAAUGGGUAGAGAACUCUGAUGGACAAACAACAAUUUCUGGAGUAUCUGGUGAAGUGACCAAAAUGCAGUUCAAUGAAAAUCUAGCUGUGGUGGCUGAAAAUAGUAUCAGAAAUCCUCUUGGCGUUGAUAGUUCUAGAAGAGUUAAUGGACAAAACAGAAAGUGGAAGAAAAUGGUUGAUGCAAUUGAAUCUAUUGAAUUUUUGUAUUCAGAAGGUAAGAAGUUCGAUGUGCAGAUGGAAGAAAAACUGUGUGUCUUGCAUGGUAUGUUAAACAGAGAAAUUGAGAAACCACUUGAUGAAUUGAAGCUUGUGGAAGCUAGUGCUCUAGGUGGUUCAUAUGCUAAGCAUGAGAGGGGUCACAAGAGAAAGGCACCUUGUGAUGAGACAAUAAUUAUGCAACAUUUUUGCAGCAUAGAUGAGCAGAAGGAGAUUGUACCAAUUGGAAAUGAAGUUCUUGAUGAUGCAAAUGCCUGCAGACAUGCUUCCCCUUCUGUCAUUAAUCAGUUGGGAAUCCCACUAGAAUGCAUCAAGGGAUUAAGUGAUUCUUUUGAAAGUGACCUUGCAAUUAUGGAAAGGAUUGAGAAAGUAGAAAAUGGGGUUUACAUGAAAUUAUUGGACUUGGAUAAUACUGCAGAUGAGGAAAGUUACAGGAAAGCACUGGAAAUGCCCUUGUCACCUAAUCUUCCUGAGAUUGAGAUUUCUAGUGCUGAUAUAUUUGAUAUGGAUAAGUUUGAAGCAGGUUAUAGCGUCCAUGGAGGAUUGUCAAAUGAGAAAGGCAUCAAGGUGCCUUCUCACAGUUUUGACGUUGUUGAUGUGGAAAUUAGUUCCAAAAACUUGACAUGUAAUGCCUUGGGAACUUCCUGUGAUGAAUUACUGCAGGGGAAUCAAGGUCUUGUUAAUUCUUUUGAUAUGUUUGGCAAUGAAAAUGGCUAUUGUAAUAUGGAAAUUGAAAGAGCUUCUGAUAAGCAGACUGGUGGGGAUUCUGAAGUGCUCAAGAUUUCAAACAUACCUAUUUCUAGGGAUGGGGCCCUGAAAUUUUCAUCUGAAAGCAAACUUGAAUCCGUGCAUGACAAUAUUCCUGCAUAUUGUGUGGUGUUUGCUAAUACUAAGGACUCUAGCAGUGUUUCGAGAAUAUUUUGUGCGACAAGAACUUGUGUGGUCCACUGCUCUUUGGAUACUGAAACCCAGUGCAUGGUCCAAAAGAUUUUGGAUGUUAUAAAAAUGGAAGAGGAACUUUUACCCAAGGAUAAGGCUUGUGCAUUUUUCACAUCGAUUCUGCUGAAUUUCUCUGUGAGUGCUUUGGGGAAGCCUGGUUGUUUUUUGGAUAGGGAUUUUCUCCAUUGCCUAGAUUCAUUUGCUGGGAAAAUAAAUUCAGUGGUGUCAGGUGUUGAUACAAGAAGUUCAGUUGCAGGUUUAGGUUGUUUGAAUGAACUGCUUCAUCUCAUUGAGGAUUUUCUCAUAAAUGGGCAAGUGAUGGUGCUGGCUGAUGUAUCUUCUGAAACAUUGAGUGAAUUUGGUUCAAGGAUGAAUAUCUUUCUGGAUGGUUUAAACAUAAAUAUGUUCUCGAAACCUGCUUCAGCUGAUCAAUUGGUGGCAGGGAGCAUCAUAUUGGCAUCAAUAUGUAAAGCAAUAGACCGCAUCGAGAUUAUUUUUGAGGCUUCUUACAAUCUUUUGCGGAUUCGAAAAUAUGAUAUUGGUGUUUUAUUGACCAUUCUUCAUGUUUUUGCAUACAUUGGCGGCAGUAAAUUUUUCUCGCUGAAGGAAUACAGUUUGACAGUGACCGUGUUAAAAUCAAUAAUAUUUUUUCUUGAAGGACAUUCAUCAGUUGCUUCAGCACAUUCAUCAGUUGCUUCAGCUUCUUCAUGCCUUUCAUCUUUGCAUGAGGUUGGACUUAAGUUCCAUCUGUGUGCAAAAUGUCCGUUUGAUGCAGUUUCAGUGGAUGUGGUUGCAUCAAUGCUGAUGGAAAAGCUUCGUAGUUGUGUUUUAUCAGGAACCAUGCAUCAGCAUCUCAUGGAACUGGAUAAUUUAUCAAGUUCCCAUGCUAAGGAGAGUUUAAGUGCUGAAAUAGUUUCUUGUGCCCUUCUUGUGAAUUGUGAUGCAUCUUGUAGUACAAAUAAGUGUGUGAUGCCUUCUGAUUCAAAUUGUGUCCAUAGUUGGACUUUAUGUUACCUUAGUGAUGUCCUAUCUUUGGUGGAACUGCUCGCUUGCUACAUGAGCUGGGAGUGGACAUGUGGUAAAAUUAUCCCCGUGUUGCUGGAAAUUUUGGAAAGACCUAUGCUAGAUGAUUUUGCUGUUGCUGUUGUUGUUCUGCUUGGUCAGCUUGGGAGCUGGAAAACUUGAAAUAGCUGGGCAAAUAUUUUGGAUUGCUUUGUGCAUUAGAGAUGGUUCUGAUAAUGAGCUUUGACAGACAUAUUUUAACAGAUGAGUGUCUCUGCUUCAGCCAAAUCUCUCUCAAAUAGUAUUUAAGACUUCCUCGCUAAAAAAAGAUGGGGUGGGAAUUAGUCAAAAUUUCCUGAUAUGACAUACUUAAGGCAGAUCACAGUGGAACCUUUUGCUAUCCUAGACCUUGCUCUAUUACCAACGAAAUUUUCUGAACUUAUUGUUUUACGUUGUUAUGUUUAUGCAUUUGACUUGAUUAUUUAAUCAACUGUGCUAUAAUAUUCAGGAUUGGAGUUGCUGCUUGUGGUUACCAGGACAAGGAAGUUGAGAAUUUGAAAUGUAAAUUAUCUGGUUAUCUGUUGCGGGAUAGUACCAUCAGAGCAUCUUUUCCUGUUCAAAUUGCCGCCAUUACUUCUUUGCUAGGACUUAUGUCUCUUAAUUUUGAAGAUGUCGUCCAGAGUGAAUUGAGGCUUCCAGAAGCUGCAAGUCAAUCUGUUUUUGAACUUAUAAGAAAUUGGUUUUCUUCAUUAGGCAAGGAGCAACAGACCUUGUCGUUCAACCUCUUACAGUCUGCUGCAGUAGUUACAAGGUGAAAGUAUCUCUAAUCUGACCAUGCAUUUCCAGUCUGAAGUAGGGCAUUCACAGUAGCAAUUAGGUAUUAUAAAUUUAAAUUAAAAAUGUAGGAAAUCUCUGGGGUCUACCAUUUAAUAGGUUUUGCCCAAUGAGAAUUCUGAGAUUAAAAACCAGGGAUUUUUAAUGAUGAGCAAGAAGGAAAAACAGGGCGAUUUUGAGAUGUAGGUGGCUGUAAGCCCUUGUAUUAUUGUGUAAAUCCGUAAAUUUUUUGGACCAUCUUUGUUUGUUAAUUAUUUCCUGGCUGAUAUGACAUUAAUUGAUUUUUUUUUUAAACCUCGUUAUGGGAAUUGCAAGUUGAUUGUGCAAAGAUGUUCACAAAGGCAUUCUGUUCUGUGCCUUGGAAACUGUUGUUCGCACCUUUGCGAACUGUUCUUUCCUCAUUUUUUUAUUAGGAUGGAUGGUUGGCUUCUUGUUUUGAAAAGG
rnacentral:misc_RNA from 1 species